UUAACUUUCCUGAGUCUGAGGGUAUUUUUUAACCUUCCUGAGUCUGAGGGUGCUUUUAACCUUCCUGAGUCUGAGGGUGCUUUUAACCUUCCUGAGUCUGAGGGUGCUAUUAACCUUCCUGAGUCCGAGGUUUUUUUUAACCUUCCUGAGUCUGAGGGUGCUUUUAACCUUCCUGAGUCUGAGGGUGCUUUUAACCUUCCUGAGUCUGAGGGUGCUUUUAACCUUCCUGAGUCUGAGGGUGGUUUUAAACUUCCAGACUUGGAAUUAUAUCAACUCUCUACCCAAGGCUUUUACUUGUGACAUAUAGUUAAAUGCACUCACGAGGAACAAUGGGUACAUAAUCAAAAUGCGCAUGCUCAUCCCCAGAAUCUUUUUACGUGUCUAUUUUCAAAGAUAAAGCUAAGAACGUGAACAACUUCAUAGUUAAAAACAGUAUAACAAUAUGGAAGAAGAUCAAACAUAUUUUACAAGAACCAAUGUCACUCCCUAAAAACACAACCAUUUGGAACAAGUCUUGGAUAGCUUUUCACGAUUCACUGAUAAAUUGGUCCACAUGGACAACUAAAGGCAUAGAAACCAUAAAUGACUUGGUAACAGGAAAUAAAUGUAUUUCCGUGACAGAAUUAAAAAGUCAUUUUGGACUGACCAAUGUAGAUACAGUAUUUUCAAAUUUUGCAACUUAAAAGUUUCAUAUCAUGAAAUGUUGCUUUUUAAGUCAUUUGGAUAUCAGAGAAACAUCGAGGGAAUCUUAUUUGAGUCAGAAAAGGCUGUUCAUGUGAUAGGUAAGAUAUAUAAAACUUUGCAGAGAGCAUAUCCAACUGACAACCUCUUAGAAAAAAAUAUUAACUAUUGGAACCAAGACUUAAAAAUAACUGAUGUUGGAGGGAAUGUUGGGACACAACUAACGAAGUUACAGUUGUCAAAAAGGUAGGCUUAAUCCAGUAUAAACUAAUGUAUAUAAUUUCUUAUACAAGAGACAUGAUUCACAAAUUCUACAGCACAAUGGCAGAAUCAUCUCUGACGUGUAAAACUAACAAUGACUCAAUAAUCCAUGAGUUCUGGGAACGUUAUAAAGUCCAAAAGUUAUGGGCAGAGUUAAACAGAUGGCUGUCAGAAGUAUUACAAUUUAAAUGGAAUUUUAAUUUGUUUGUCUGCACACCGCCCGGGCAUGCAUAAAUUCCUUGUUUUUGAAAGAAAAGCACAUUUUUUUGUCCAUUAAAAUAACAUCAAAUUGAUCAGAAAUACAGUGUAGACAUUGUUAAUGUUGUAAAUGACUAUUGUAGCCACCCCGCUGAUCCUCAACACUGGGGCUUCACAAGGGUGCGUGCUCAGCCCCUUCCUGUACUCCCUAUUCACCCACAACUGCGUGGCCAUCACGCCUCCAACUCAGUCAAGUUUGCAGACGACACUAGAGUGGUAGGCUUGAUUACCAACAACGACGAGACUGCCUACAGGAAGGAAGUGAGGGCCCUCGGAGUGUGGUGUCAGGAAAAUAACCUCGCACUCAACGUCAACAAAACAAAGGAGAUGAUCGUGGACUUCAGGAAACAGCAGAGGGAGCACCCCCCCAUCCACAUCGAUGGGACAGUAGUGGAGAAGGUGGAAAGUUUUAAGUUCCUCGGCGUAGACAUCAC
ensembl:lncRNA